rnacentral:misc_RNA from 1 species
GGUUAGGAUCCUUUUGUAAGGUAAGAUUAGAGGGUAUGGGUGGUAUAAAUCCACCUGAAGCAGACUUCUAUCCUCACCCACAUCUUUUACAAGCCUCCUUUAGUUUGCAUGAUAACUGAUGAAUAGAAACACGUGACCGUCUCUACAGCAAUCAUGCUUGCCAUUGGUACAUAAUGACGAGAAUGCUGAAAGAUUAUACAACGUUAUGUUAAUGCCUCGCUUAAUAUAGUACCACCACUGAUAGCGAAAACUCAUAAUCAGCCCUUUUUGUUUAUGUUAUGCUUUAUUUGGACUGGACCUGAUGAUAUUGGAUCUGAUUUCAUGCCUUGAAAGCCUCACACGAGAAGGUUAAAGGAUUAGAAUCACACAGCAGAGAUAAAAAUGGUAAAAGUUCUAAGCUCCUUAAAAUAUGAACAUUCACUCAGGCCUACGUUAGAUCCAUGUAAGCUAAGAAGGUAAGCUCAUUAUACUAGACUCCACGACUAUAAGGUCUCAAGUUCAAGCCUCCAUCAACUCGAAAUGCACAUUUAAAAAAGCAGCAAGUUAAAAAGGUUGCACUUGCACACCUGAAAGUAUAGAUAACAAGAGGGGUAAAAAUAAAAUAUAGGGAAAAUGUAAUAUGGGGUUCAAGCGAAAGCUUUGC